AACGAACGCUGGCGGCAGGCUUAACACAUGCAAGUCGAACGCUCGUAGCAAUACGGGAGUGGCAGACGGGUGAGUAACGCGUGGGAACAUACCCUUUGGUUCGGAAUAACUGAGAGAAAUUUCAGCUAAUACCGGAUGUGCCCUUCGGGGGAAAGAUUUAUCGCCAAAGGAUUGGCCCGCGUCUGAUUAGCUAGUUGGUGAGGUAACGGCUCACCAAGGCGACGAUCAGUAGCUGGUCUGAGAGGAUGAUCAGCCACACUGGGACUGAGACACGGCCCAGACUCCUACGGGAGGCAGCAGUGGGGAAUAUUGGACAAUGGGGGCAACCCUGAUCCAGCCAUGCCGCGUGAGUGAUGAAGGCCUUAGGGUUGUAAAGCUCUUUCGUCAGGGAAGAUAAUGACGGUACCUGAAGAAGAAGCCCCGGCUAACUUCGUGCCAGCAGCCGCGGUAAUACGAAGGGGGCUAGCGUUGUU
rnacentral:rRNA from 1 species